GAGACACCCUCCUGGGGCAAGACUUGCUUCAGUGGGGCUUUGGUGCUCACUGAGUCUGCCCCCUGAGUGUGUCCCU
rfam:Myotis lucifugus cont2.4203, whole genome shotgun sequence.